UAUUCUGCCCCAUGGGGAAGGAUGAGAAGCUUCGACUAAGGUUCGACUCGAGCGCCAGCGAGAGAACGUUGCCGCAGGCAACGGCCCGAAGGGCGAGGCGCUUUAGCGCCGAGUAAUCCUUCCCCCACCA
rnacentral:sRNA from 1 species